rnacentral:tRNA from 1 species
AGGGAUGUGGCGCAGCUUGGUAGCGCGUUUGUUUUGGGAACAAAAAGUCACGGGUUCAAAUCCUGUCAUCCCUA